UACGGGGGGGGGCAAGCGUUGUUCGGAAUUACUGGGCGUAAAGGGCUCGUAGGCGGCCAACUAAGUCACACGUGAAAUCCCUCGGCUCAACCGGGGAACUGCGUGUGAGACUGGAUGGCUUGAGUUUGGGAGAGGAAUGCGGAAUUCCAGGUGUAGCGGUGAAAUGCGUAGGUAUCUGAGGAACACCGGUGGCGAAGGCAAUCCCCUGGACCUGUACUGACGCUCAUGCACGAAAGCGUGGGGAGCAAACAGG
rnacentral:rRNA from 1 species